CCAGGCGGACGAGCGCCGAAGCACCGCCCCCCGUCGCCCGGGGACGGGGGGAAGCGGCGUCCGGCCCAUCCGGACAAACAAAACCUUUCCCGCUGGAAACCCGCCCUUCUUCCCCCGGUAAAAUUGGAGGGGGAUGCCGCCCCGACCGAAGUUCUAAAACUUUGCACCCCAGAUGGGACUCGAACCCACAAUCCCUGGCUUAGGAGGCCAAUGCCUUAUCCAUUAGGCCACUGGGGCUCCGCCGGGGCCCCCUUUCGGUCGUUUCUUUCCUUGCUCAGCGGGCGCGCGUCAUCGAUGUCGUCACCCGCCACGUGACCGCGGCCGCCCCUCGCCGCCAUCGGCCCCCGGGGGAUGCCGGGACUUGGAGUUCGGGGCCCCUCCUCCACCGCCGUCCCUCUGAAGGACACAGGAAAACGACAGCUGGGCCUCAGGGACCCCAAAUCUCUAUUCCCGAAACGGAUCAGAGCAAUCUCGUAAUAUUUAUCUUAUAUUCAUGUCUGCUCCCAAGGGAUGGGACCCUUCACUGUGCUCUUGGAAUCCCCCCAAGCGCUUAGCACAGUGCUCUGCACAAGGCCUGUACUCUUUCCACUCGGCCAUCCUGCUUCUCAUCCGUUGGUGUUAAUCAGCAGAGUCCUUGAGAACUGGGCCCAGGAAGCCCUCCCAGGGGAACCCGACUCAUCCUGCCAUCCUCCACAACCAGGAAUUAAGCUCAGGUCCGGGUCCACAGACGAAAAGACAUCCUGGCAUCUCGAUGGAAAGGACCUUUCCAGAUCCUCCUGACCAUGAACUCCACCGUCAAGUGCCCAAACCUGAACUCUUGCAUCCACGCUUCUCCCGACGAGAAGACUGACCGCUGCCCCUCCUAAGACCAAGACCAAAAAUCCACCGGUUGACGGUGGCAGCUGAGACGACAACAGCGUUUGAAAGGACCUGCACGCCUACCGGAACUUGAAAGAACUCUUGGAAUCAUUUGACUUGCCUAAUCUGUCUAAAACGACACCAGAAAGCCCUUUGACGCAUCCGUCCCUGAGGGUGGUGUCCAAGACGUCAUUACCAAUUAUACCCAUACGUGCUGCUGUGGAAAUCGACGAAAACUAGAGGUGGAACUUAUUGCA